rnacentral:rRNA from 1 species
GACGAACGCUGGCGGCGUGCUUAACACAUGCAAGUCGAACGGAAAGGCCCUGCUUUUGUGGGGUGCUCGAGUGGCGAACGGGUGAGUAACACGUGAGUAACCUGCCCUUGACUUUGGGAUAACUUCAGGAAACUGGGGCUAAUACCGGAUAGGAGCUCCUGCUGCAUGGUGGGGGUUGGAAAGUUUCGGCGGUUGGGGAUGGACUCGCGGCUUAUCAGCUUGUUGGUGGGGUAGUGGCUUACCAAGGCUUUGACGGGUAGCCGGCCUGAGAGGGUGACCGGCCACAUGGGGACUGAGAUACGGCCCAGACUCGUACGGGAGGCAGCAGUGGGGAAUAUUGCACAAUGGGCGGAAGCCUGAUGCAGCAACGCCGCGUGCGGGAUGACAGCCUUCGGGUUGUAAACCGCUUUCGCCUGUGACGAAGCGUGAGUGACGGUAAUGGGUAAAGAAGCACCGGCUAACUACGUG